UUUGUUUCGCGAUGUUUCUCUUUGUUCUGCGCUGGAUCGAUCCUUGCAUGGCUGGGUCAAGUCAUCUACGUAUCAAGUGCAAUCUACAUACAGAGUACAGACUAGCUGCUCGUCAGUCUCAGCCGGCGCCAUCUCUGCAUGUUGCUUCCUCUGCAUCCAGUCACCGCCCGGUUCCAGGAGUCAGCCGCACGGGCUGGUUUGUUCUUCGCAUUUGCUUCUUCCCGGAUAGAAUCGCGAAGUGGUGCGGUGAGAUACGAC